rnacentral:lncRNA from 13 species
CUAGUGUGUGUAAUAUACAUUAUUCUGGGAGUCUAGUGUGUGUAAUAUAAAUUAUUUACAGUUCACUGUUGUAAAACCUAUUUACAAGAUAUUUACAGAUGUUCACUGUUGGGAUCCCAGACCAUCCAGGAUCCCAGACCGUCUGGUGAGGGGCACCCAGGAUUCCAGACCGUUCGGUGAGGGGCACCCAGGAUCCCAGACCGUCUGGUGAGGGGCACCCAGGAUCCCAGACCGUCUGGUGAGGGGCACCCAGGAUCCCAGACCGUUCGGUGAGGGGCACCCAGGAUCCCAGACCGUCUGGUGAGGGGCACCCAGGAUCCCAGACCGUCUGGUGAGGGGCACCCAGGAUCCCAGACUGUCCGGUGAGGGGCACCCAGGACCCCAGACCGUCUGGUGAGGGGCACCCAGGAUCCCAGACCGUCCGGUGAGGCACCCAGACUGUCUGGUGAGGGGCACCCAGGAUCCCAGACCGUCCGGUGAGGCACCCAGACUGUCUGGUGAGGGGCACCCAGGAUCCCAGACCGUCUGGUGAGGGGCACCCAGGAUCCCAGACCCUGUGACCACAAAGCCCUGACUCUUGCACAUCCAUCCCUGUAGCCAUUUUGAAUUCCUUGAUGCCCCUCCCUCUUUGUCAUCUGUCCCCCACUUUAUAGACAGUUUUUGUCCCCAUAAACUUUUAAUUAAUAACUUGGGAUUUUAACACUUGACAUAGCAAUNNNNNNNNNNUCCCUCCUUUCCUCGUGGUUGGCAUGACAACGACUUGGAAUGAUCGCACAAACGGACUGGUAGCUCACCAGCAGCCUGUCUAGACCACUGGGGUGAAACUGUGUUGGCCAUGUGUUCUGAGUGGUGGGACAGACCUGCCCCCCCCCCCCCUGUUACUAGAGGUGUGUUGGGGUCCUGAGGCCUAGAAACCUUCCUGUAUAGUAGCCCCUCACCUCUCAAGCGACUGUGG